rfam:Operophtera brumata OBRT01_Sc03324, whole genome shotgun sequence.
CAAUAGGCCCUUUUCAGGGCCAUCAUAUGUCAAACUGGUCACUG